AAAAGGCUCGAGUCGAUCCAGCGCCUUCACAGACCCUGUAGUCUUUGUGUCAACAGUUAAUCGUCUUUGGCAAGCACAAAGAAGACAGGAAUAAUAAUACGCACAGUAAAAAUCACCAUCAUUGUUUACCGAGUGAAGUUCGUAGAUGGUACUCGUGAAAUCGCACAGAUGCCACACCUCUCAACGCGCUUGGCCAGUAAUUCCACUGUGUGCGCUCAAAGCCUGUAAGCUAUUAUGAUGCCCGACAAUGGAUGAUAACAACAACGCCAAUGGCAACACCUUUCCUUUACUGACCAGACUAGCAGAAGCAGAGACGAAGCUGAAGCAACGGCAACACUGAGAUUUGGUAAACUACCAUGCUUGUCCUGGGUGGAGAGAAGAAAUACUUCUGUGUGAAGGUGGUCAUCGAGGACAAAGAACAGGACAGAAAGACGACGACAACGACAACGACGACUACAGCAGGGUGAAGAUGACAAAUUUCAGCAUCAAAAACCGGAUAGAAACAGCAAUAGAUGUGCCUGAUAGCAAAAGUAACCAACAGCAACCAACAACAGCAUCAGUAACUACAACAACAGCGACAAGUAGUUUUGAAAUCCUAAAGAAGGAAUGGACUUCCCACGUACAUUCAGUUCACCAUUCCAUCGGAUUUUCAUCAAUCAAUCUGUCUUCAGGAUUCGUUCGUUCAUACUUUGCCGGAGUACUUGUACUUUGAUACAAUAAAGCCCUGCUUAAAACACACAGUAUAACUCCAAACUGUGCAAUUUAGACGCCACUCGUAUAUUCAAGAUUAAAACAAAACCUCAAAUCCAACUUCCCUAACGUCAGUGAUAACAGAUUGCUUUCUAGAAGUAAUUAGACUGAGACUUAGUAGUAGUUAAGGCAGUCCUGAUGCAAGGAGACUGCGUUCUAAUACAGUCUCAGCUUUGGAAAAUCUCCGAAUUCCUUUACCGGGCUAUCUAAUCAUCCAAAGAACCUCAUAAAAAGCCCCAUAAACUCAAAAGAGAUUAACAUAUAGUCCGUACUCCAUGCAAAGUAAUUCUCCUUACACAUCUUGUUCCUCGUGUUAUUUUAAGUUUGAAAAAAGGUGCAAAGAUUCCCGGUAUAUAGGUGAACAACUUUAACCACCAAAUGUUGUUUGCUGAUUUUUUGAGGGUGACGCCACGUUUUAAGGUUGAGAAUUGAAAGCCCUUUCAUUAAAACUCGGGGGAAGCCAAUUUUUCAUUAUUUACUGCAAAUGAGCAGAGAGCUGAACCCACUGACAAAGUCUAUACAUCUUAAUUUUGA